GAUGAACGCUGGCGGCGUGCCUAAUACAUGCAAGUCGAGCGAACAGACGAGGAGCUUGCUCCUCUGACGUUAGCGGCGGACGGGUGAGUAACACGUGGAUAACCUACCUAUAAGACUGGGAUAACUUCGGGAAACCGGAGCUAAUACCGGAUAAUAUAUUGAACCGUAUGGUUCAAUAGUGAAAGACGGUUUUGCUGUCACUUAUAGAUGGAUCCGCGCCGCAUUAGCUAGUUGGUAAGGUAACGGCUUACCAAGGCAACGAUGCGUAGCCGACCUGAGAGGGUGAUCGGCCACACUGGAACUGAGACACGGUCCAGACUCCUACGGGAGGCAGCAGUAGGGAAUCUUCCGCAAUGGGCGAAAGCCUGACGGAGCAGCGCCGCGUGAGUGAUGAAGGUCUUCGGAUCGUAAAACUCUGUUAUUAGGGAAGAACAAAUGUGUAAGUAACUAUGCACGUCUUGACGGUACCUAAUCAGAAAGCCACGGCUAACAACGUG
rnacentral:rRNA from 1 species